rnacentral:lncRNA from 1 species
GGGGAGUCGGCCUCGGGGCUCUGCUCUCCUACCUCAGUCUGCCCUACCCUGGAAUGGGGAAAAUGCGGACAUGCCACUCAGUCCGGCCGCGAACAGUGCUCCAGAACUCAGAGAGUUUUCCAGACGGGUGGAGAUCGCGUUCCCUGCCCGCCGAGGUCCCAUCGCUUCCCUGCUGGGAAGACAAAUGAGGCGCUUUAGCCGUCUCCACGGCCAGCCCCUCCCUCAUAACCCGAGAUUCUUUGUGGGCUCUUAGUCCAUAGCUGCCUUUGAGGUGGUGUAGACCUUGCUAACCAGGACGGCCCAGUAGGCAGAGCUCAUUUUUAUUCCUGUCUGCAAUCGUGCAAAAACGCCUCUUAUGGAAAAGCCAGAGCGCCAGGAGUCAGCAAAACACACUAAAGAUUGGGCAGUCACUGGGGAGAACGUGAGUAAAAGCACAGGAACAGCAAAGCGUUCAGGAACGUUCGAGGCUGACGCAACCGGCGCAGGAAGAUGGCCUGAAGCAACUGAAGAUCCACAAAAGAAGUGAAAAUAGCCUUAACUGAUGACAUUCCACCAUUGAGAUUUGUUCCUGCCCCACCCUAACUGAUACGAUAUAUUCUCCCCCGCCCUUAAGAAGACUCAGCCCGCCUGCACCCAGGUGAAAUAUACAGCCUUGUUGCUCACACAAAGCCUGUUUGGUGGUUUCUUCACACGGAUGCAUGUGACAUUUGGUGCUGAAGACCCAGGACAGGAGGACUCCUUUGGGAGACCAGUGCCCUGUUGUCGCCCUCACUCCGUGAGGAGAUCCACCUAUGAUCUCAGGUCCUCAGACCAACCAGCCCAAGGAACAUCUUGCCAAUUUCAAAUCGGAUAGGAGUGUCAGGCCUCUGAGUCCAAGCUAAGCCAUCAAAUCCCCUGUGACCUGCACGUGUACAUCCAGAUGACCUGAAGCAACUGAAGAUCCACAAAAGAAGUGAAAGUAGCCUUAACUGAUGACAUUCCACCAUUGUGAUUUGUUCCUGCCCCACGCUAACUGAUACCAUAUAUUCUUCCCCCGCCCUUGAGAAUGUACUUUGUACACCUAUCCCAAACCUAUAAGAACUAAUGAUAAUCCUACCACCCUUUGCUGACUCUCUUUUUGGACUCAGCCCGCCUGCACCCAGGUGAAAUAAACAGCCCUGUUGCUCACACAAA